GCCCUGGAUGUGCUGGUGUUGUUUUUGCUGGUGGCUGCUGCUCUGGCAAUGGCUGCAGAAGCGAGGUGCGCUUGCGACGCAACUCCUGCAAAUCGGUCGACGACUUAACCAAGACCGUUAAAUAUCUUGGUUCGUUCAGUCCUGCGAAGAAUCCGCUCCACAUCGACUAUAACGAUAUUCUCGCCGUGCGAAAGCGUACAACGGUGCGACGCUACUUCAAGUAAACAACCAUUAUACUGGGCAUCUCAGUAUUUAUCUGCCUCAAAUCCAAGUGGUUUGGAUUGUAGAUUCCAUUCCAUUUCCGCUUUGCAGUACAAACCACGUUGUUCCUCAAGGAAUUUAGAAAAUUCGCUUGUGUUCACUCAAAUCAAAAUAGUUCUAGGCUAAGAAGUACGAAAUCAACCAAGUGUUAUAUGAAGUUUAUAAGUUUAAAUGCGUUAAUAAUGAAAUAUAAAAUUGUUUUGAAAAUUGA